CCUACGGGAGGCAGCAGUAAGGAAUAUUGGUCAAUGGGCGCAAGCCUGAACCAGCCAUGCCGCGUGCAGGAUGACGGCCCUCUGGGUUGUAAACUGCUUUUAUACGGGAAGAACAGCAUCUACGUGUAGGUGUUUGACGGUACUGUAAGAAUAAGGACCGGCUAACUUCGUGCCAGCAGCCGCGGUAAUACGAAGGGUCCAAGCGUUAUCCGGAUUUAUUGGGUUUAAAGGGUGCGUAGGCGGCUUUUUAAAGUCAGUGGUGAAAGCCUGAUGCUCAACAUCAGAACUGCCAUUGAUACUGAAGAGCUUGAGUACAGUUGAGGUUGGCGGAAUGUGUCAUGUAGCGGUGAAAUGCUUAGAUAUGACACAGAACACCGAUUGCGAAGGCAGCUAGCUAAGCUGUUACUGACGCUGAUGCACGAAAGCGUGGGGAGCAAACAGGAUUAGAUACCCUGGUAGUCCACGCCCUAAACCGUUGAUAACUCGUUGUUAGCGAUAUACUGUUAGCGACCAAGCGAAAGCAUUAAGUUAUCCACCUGGGGAAGUACGGUCGCAAGAUUGAAACCCUUAGAAAGUAGUGGAGNGNGAGACGACGACGACGGACGACGACGGAGGGAGGAGG
rnacentral:rRNA from 1 species